AUUGAACGCUGGCGGAAUGCUUUACACAUGCAAGUCGAACGGUAACAGGUCUUCGGAUGCUGACGAGUGGCGAACGGGUGAGUAAUAUAUCGGAACGUGCCCAGUCGUGGGGGAUAACGUAGCGAAAGUUACGCUAAUACCGCAUACGAUCUACGGAUGAAAGCGGGGGAUCGCAAGACCUCGCGCGAUUGGAGCGGCCGAUAUCAGAUUAGGUAGUUGGUGGGGUAAAGGCUCACCAAGCCAACGAUCUGUAGCUGGUCUGAGAGGACGACCAGCCACACUGGAGCUGAGACUCGCUCCAGACUCCUACGGGAGGCAGCAGUGGUGAAUUUUGGACAAUGGACGCAAGUCUGAUCCAGCCAUUCCGCGUGCAGGAUGAAUGCCCUCGGGUUGUAAACUGCUUUUGUACAGAACGAAAAGGCUCUUCCUAAUACGAGGGGCUCAUGACGGUACUGUAAGAAUAAGCACCGGCUAACUACGUGCCAGCAGCCGCGGUAA
rnacentral:rRNA from 1 species